CACCCCCACAGCAACACACAACUGUCACACACACACUGUACAUAUACACAAGCACACCCCCACACAACACACAACUGCCACACACACACACUGUACAUAUACACAAGCACACUCCCACAGCAACAUGUACUUACAAACACAAAGAAAUGGAGGCUUGGAGGGCCUCGACUGAGGAAAGGAGCGUGAAAGGGAAAUGUAUUGAAGAAGUGGGUGGAGCAGUGGUUCUUACCAUUCAGGGAACCUUGGCAUUAUGGGUAACUCACUAGAACACCCAUACUGUCCCCUGUGUGCUCACCCUCAGGGUGAGGUGCUGGGAUUGCCAUUCUUAACAGUUUCUUUGGGUGGCUGUUGGGAUUGGGGACCUUUGGAGUUUUACUAUUUCUGUUUUGACCCCAUAUCUGUAAUUUGGUAGUCGGGGAUCACAAUUUUACAAAACAUUUGUACUCUAGGCUCAAUCACACACAAAACAGAGAUAAUGGUAAUUUAAUGGGUGUAAGGCUGAGCUGAUGUUCACAAACAUAUCUAGUGUAACAUUAAUUUAUCUAAGCACUCAGUUUCCUUCUUUUUUAUUUUUUCUUGGCAAGAACAAGCAUUCUUUAUUGCCUCCAUGGUCCCUUGUUAAAUUUACAUAACUUAGGUAAAACUGUUAUUUCAUUUUUUGUAUUAGAUAUUUUCUUUAUUUACAUUUC
rnacentral:lncRNA from 1 species